UUGGCACUUUAAUAUGUGUUUUAAUUCUUAUUAAUGCAUAAAUUAAAUCCGUUGCACAUUGAGUGUAUACAUUGCAUCACAGAGGAAAAUAACCUCUCCUCUUAUGCAGUACACUUUUCCAGCCUCUAAACCCUUAAUUUAUUGUACGAUCAUAUUUCAAUACAAGUUCACAACACCCUCUCUCUUUAUAUGUAUCAGAAGCAGAUACUGCCCUUCGUCUCCACCUUUUCCACCUCCUUCACCACCAUCGCCGUCCACCCUCGCAGAACAAGAAACACACGUUAACAGUACUAGAGAGAGAUGGAUCAUGGUAAUCAUGGUAUGGGAGGGAUGGGUCCAACCAUGAACAAUACCAACAGCACUGGAGGGAUGAUGAUGCGUCCCCACCACAAGAUGAUGAUGCAUAUGACCUUCUUCUGGGGUAAGAAUGCUGAAAUUCUCUUCGAUGGCUGGCCUGGCACUAGAACUGGAAUGUAUGUUUUGGCCCUCAUAUCUGUUUUUUUCUUUGCUUUUUUUGUCGAGUGGCUCUCUCAUUGCCAAUUGAUUAAGCCUGAUUCUACCCACCUAGCUGCCGGUUUAAUCCAGACUUUCUUGCACGCUCUGAGGAUUGGUUUGGCCUACCUGGUCAUGUUGGCUGUUAUGUCCUUCAAUGGUGGUGUUUUCUUGGUGGCUGUGGCAGGUCAUACUCUUGGGUUCUUGUUUUUUGGGAGUAGGGUUUUCAAGAAAUCGCCACCGCCUGUAAAAACCUCUGAUCUUCCUCUAAUGAGUUGUUGAAUCUUGUCCGAGGAAGACAGUGUCUGGUUCUUGGGUUUGGAUUUGCAGAUUCUCCAAUUGCGUUUACAUGGCUUGAAAGAAUAAUUAUAUGUAGAAUUGAAUAUGAAGAAUAGUGUUGGAUUGAAGUGUACAAGUUAUUUACUUGUGAAAUUUUAUCUAAUUAAGCCUAAAUUUUUUUGUUUUUAUCAGUUGAUAAUUGCGUUCAUAGAUUUAUUUUAAACCCAAUUAGUUUCUCCUGAUCAAGAAGAUGAUAUUUGUGUGGUUAA
rnacentral:misc_RNA from 1 species